AUUGAACGCUGGCGGCAGGCCUAACACAUGCAAGUCGAGCGAGCGGCGGACGGGUGAGUAAUGUCUGGGAAUCUGCCCGAUGGAGGGGGAUAACUACUGGAAACGGUAGCUAAUACCGCAUACUAUAGGAUGAGCCCAAGUGGGAUUAGGUAGUUGGUGGGGUAAAGGCUCACCUAGGCGACGAUCUCUAGCUGGUCUGAGAGGAUGACCAGCCAAAAUGGGACUGGAGCACGGCCCCAACUCCUGAGGGAGGCAGCAGUGGGGAAUAUUGCGCAAUGGGGGCAACCCUGACGGAGCCAAUCCGCGUGAAUGGAGAAGGCCUUCGGGUUGUAAAGGUCUUUCGGGAGGGGAGCGUUAACUACAGAAGAAGCACCGGCUAACUCCGUGCCAACAGCCGCGGUAAUUC
rnacentral:rRNA from 1 species